ensembl:snRNA U6 U6 spliceosomal RNA
GUGCUCACUUUGGCAGCACAUAUACUAAAAUUGGAACGAUACAGAGAAAAUUAGCUUGGCCCCUAUGCAUGGGUGACAUGCAAAUUCAUGAAGUAUUCCAUAUUUUA